AAAUUGGUUGCAACUUUAUUCAUAGUAGCUGAAAACUGGAAACAGCCAGCAACAAGAGAAUGGAUAAACAAAUUAUUAUAUAUUCAUACAAUAUAAUAUGACUCAAGGAGAAAAAUGAAUGAGCAAUGGAUACAUGCAGCAAUAUAAAUGAAUCUAAAGGGCAAAAUAAGCCAGACCAAAAAAACCAAAACAAAGCUAUACUAUAUGAUUCCACUUACAUGAAGUUUAACAACAGGAAAGUUAAUGUGAUACAAAUGAACCUAGGGGCUGCUGAUUGUGGGGUGGGUGGGAGGGGCGAGUUGACUGACUAAAAAGAGAACAAUUUUUUCUGGGGCGAUAGAAAUAUUCUAGAUCUUGUUUUGGGUCGUAGUUACAAGUAAUAUAAAAUUAUCAAAACUUAUUAAACUGAAAACUGAAGAUCUGUGUACUCUAUUGUGUGUAGGUUAUAACUCAGUUUUGUUAGCUUGAAAAGAUGGGGAUCACUGGAACAGCUUGAGUGUAGGAAACAAGUACAAUUCCCAAUCCCCAACCUCUUGUGGGUGUCACAGGCCCUAGUCCACGGUGGCUUCUCAGUGCUUCCUUCCUGCUCCCAGCAGUGCCUCCGAUGGACCACUUGGGGGCAGCCACGCCCGCAGUGACUAACCCUGGCAAGAGCUGCUUGGCCACCAGCCUGGUUGCUCAGCAGGCAGCAGAGCUGGGUGCGGGGAGCCGGAUGGCCUGUGCAGCUCAUGUUCAUCGCCGCCACCUUUUACAGUCUAGCCAGAAGCUCUGAACAUGCAACACCUACUGUUUACUUGUCGAAUUAGCACAGAAUUGCCCAUCCAAACCUGACCCCACUAACUGCAGGCAUAGCACGCCCGGGGGUCCUCAACUUUCCAUCCUCUGUCGCUAUUGUUCCUGCCCACAGCUGAGCAUUGCUCAUGGUGUUCCUUUGGCUAGCUGAUUCUUACUCAUCCUUUGAGCGCCCAUGUGAGUCUCAGAUCCUCUGGACACCUCCCUGGACUAGAUUCCUCAGCACCUUCCUUCCUCAUCACCCAGGGCCGUAUUAUUACCUUCGUAUCUGACUCCCCAUCAGACAGUUCAGGGCCAGGGGUGAGGGAGCAGGCCGUCCUCUGUGUUGCAUACCCUCAUCCCACUGCUAGUCUCAGGGACAGUGGACCUCAGUUGAGUAGUGUGUUUGGUAAAUGUUUAACAAUCGGCUCUUCAGGGAAAAAAAGUACCAAUAUAUUUAUUAUAAACUUUACUGAUAUAAAGGAUGUGGAACACACAACUUAUACAUAAUAAAAUAUACAAUACAGUUUAUUAUCAAUUCCAUAGAGCCAAUCAAUCCUCAAAGAAUGCUUUCAUUGGUCUUUCCUUUACUCUUGUCUCCAUAACCUAUAGUUACAAUUGAUGAAUGAAUGUGAUAAUUAACAAAUAAAUAACAAUACGUCAAACUCUGUGUUUGUAAAGUAAUUUCUGUGCUGUAAGUACAUCCCCCAUGGCUGAUUUCAAGCUACUAACAUGAUGUUACUAAAUGCUGGGUCCGGCAAAGAGGCACCACAGCAUACUCUUAUAUAGUGUUACUGCCACAGCGAUACAAGAAGCGUACCUUAAUUCAAGAGCAUGAGGGCAGCGCAGGUGGCUCAGCGGUUUAGCGCCGCCUUCAGCCCAGGGCGCGAUCCUGGAGUCCUGGAAUCAAGUCCCGCGUUGGGCUCCCUGCAUGGAGCCUACUUCUCCCUCUGCCUGUGUCUCUGCCUCUCUCUCUUUCUGUGUCUCUCAUGAAUAAAUAAAAUCUUUUUAAAAAAAGAGCAUGAAUAGUAAAAUGUCAUAAAGUUAUUAGAAAGCGAUGAGUUUUGAAUGAGUUUAAUAUUUUCUUU
rnacentral:lncRNA from 1 species